AGUGAACGCUGGCGGUAGGCCUAACACAUGCAAGUCGAACGGCAGCACAGUAAGAGCUUGCUCUUACGGGUGGCGAGUGGCGGACGGGUGAGGAAUACAUCGGAAUCUACUUUUUCGUGGGGGAUAACGUAGGGAAACUUACGCUAAUACCGCAUACGAUCUACGGGUGAAAGCAGGGGAUCUUCGGACCUUGCGCGAUUGAAUGAGCCGAUGUCGGAUUAGCUAGUUGGCGGGGUAAAGGCCCACCAAGGCGACGAUCCGUAGCUGGUCUGAGAGGAUGAUCAGCCACACUGGAACUGAGACACGGCCCAGACUCCUACGGGAGGCAGCAGUGGGGAAUAUUGGACAAUGGGCGCAAGCCUGAUCCAGCCAUACCGCGUGGGUGAAGAAGGCCUUCGGGUUGUAAAGCCCUUUUGUUGGGAAAGAAAAGCAGCAGGUUAAUACCCCGCUGUUCUGACGGUACCCAAAGAAUAAGCACCGGCUAACUUCGUG
rnacentral:rRNA from 1 species